rnacentral:rRNA from 1 species
UACGGGGGGGGCAAGCGUUGUUCGGAAUUACUGGGCGUAAAGGGCUCGUAGGUGGCCAACUAAGUCAGACGUGAAAUCCCCCGGCUUAACCGGGGAACUGCGUCUGAUACUGGAUGGCUUGAGUUCGGGAGAGGGAUGCGGAAUUCCAGGUGUAGCGGUGAAAUGCGUAGAUAUCUGGAGGAACACCGGUGGCGAAGGCGACAUCCUGGACCGACACUGACGCUGAGGAGCGAAAGCCAGGGGAGCAAACGGG